CCCGCUUGAUCUCUUCACAGUUGUGCCCAAGAGCCCACCACCCUCAGGUGAAGCCAGCUCUUCCUGCAGAAGUCAGACCAGCAGAAGGAACUUCCAGGCCCAUGGAUUCACACUUCAGAGGGACAAACAAAAAGGUGAAUAUCCCUUGCUUGGCAAGGGAUACAACCUCGAUUGUGUUCUGUCUGCAACUUCAUAACUCUUAAGGGUUUUCUUUUUUCCUGAGAGAACAUUCUGUAUUCAGAGUGUUCUCUCAGGUUUUGCUUUUCACCUUGUUGCA